rnacentral:rRNA from 1 species
CGGAUCAGGUAGGGAUACCCGCUGAACUUAAGCAUAUCAAUAAGCGGAGGAAAAGAAACCAACAGGGAUUGCCUUAGUAACGGCGAGUGAAGCGGCAAGAGCUCAAAUUUGAAAUCUGGCCUCUUUGGGGUCCGAGUUGUAAUUUGGAGAGGAUGCUUCGGGUUCAGCCCCCAUCUAAGUGCCCUGGAACGGGCCGUCAUAGAGGGUGAGAAUCCCGUCUGGGAUGGGUGGUUGUGCCCAUGUGAAGCUCCUUCGACGAGUCGAGUUGUUUGGGAAUGCAGCUCUAAAUGGGUGGUAAAUUUCAUCUAAAGCUAAAUAUUGGCCGGAGACCGAUAGCGCACAAGUAGAGUGAUCGAAAGAUGAAAAGCACUUUGAAAAGAGAGUGAAACAGCACGUGAAAUUGUUGAAAGGGAAGCGCUUGCAACCAGACUCGCCUAGGGAGGCUCCACCGGUACUUGUACCGGUUCACUCCUCCCCUGGCGGGCCAGCGUCGGUUUGGGCGGUUGGUUAAAGACUCCCGGAAUGUAUCGCCCUCCGGGGCGUCUUAUAGCCGGGAGUGCCAUGCAACCAGCCCAGACCGAGGAACGCGCUUC